rnacentral:misc_RNA from 1 species
CUCUGUACUUUGCUCAAAGUGUUUCUGUUUGCCUUGGUUUACUAUCAUGAUACAUUCCACAGCCUCUGUACAGUCAGCUUUUGUAUCGUUUAUUUGAUUUUGUUUAUACCUUCUUCAUUCAGAGAGAGGUGCCAUAACUUGGUUAUUUUUUAACAGUAAGCACCAAUAUUGAAUUUGAUAUAGGCCAUUAUUGUGAUCUACAGAAUGAGUGACUGAGGACUCCAAGCCCAUUGUUUUACUUACUAAAUGUAUGUCAAUUUUAUAAUGAAUUUGGUAAUGAGCAUUUAAUGACAUCAGUCUAACUGAAAACAAAACCUCCAUGUUACGGUAUUAAUAAAGUCGAGUGUCUAUAACCAAUCAUUUGUGGGUUGUCAAAGCACGCCCUUUGUUCAUAAAUGAGAUUAUGUAAUGUCGUUGUCAUGGUGCUGAGUCACUUGUUAACUUGUACCACAACACAGUCAUCUCUUCCUCUGUUUAGAACCUUGUUGUUAGGUUGUUCUGAGGAACAAAGAUUUCGAUGAGGAAGAUGAGAAGCAUCAUGUUGUCAAUCUGUGAUAAGUCUUGUACGGAUGUUAAUGUUUACAAAUGUUCUGCACAUGUACUUUAUGAAUGUUCUGUAGAUCCACAACGAACUGUAAACAAGUUCAGGAGUUCAAUGUACACACAGUUUUUACAUUCACCUGGUGAAGCUAAAAUGAUGUAACUUUUGUAUAUAUUCUACCACCAUCAUUAUCACCACAGCUUGUUACAUUGGAGGAUUUAUAAUACUUUUAAUUUUUAAUUUUUUUGAUUCAAUAACACAAUUUGAUGGAUGUUAAGAUAACGGACAUUUACACUUGAAAUCAGUAUCCAUUAUUUCUGUUGGGUAUGGAUAACAUAGCUUUAAACCUGUGUGUAAUUUGAUGGUAGAUAAGAACACUAGGUAAGAUCAGCUCUUACAAUGCGCUUCUAUGUGAUUGUGGACUGAUAGGAACAGACUCAUAGAGGUCAAGGUGUUCACAGGUGUGUCGUCCUUGACGGGGGGGUCACAGGCAGUUGAGUACAAACACUUGAUUUCAUGCAUCCUUGUAGUGAAGUAGCCAUAGUGAGGAAAUAAAAUGACAGGGUGACUGGGAUAUUUAUUUUACACUUAUACAUGCAUACAUGGUGUGAGAACAUCAGAAUGUGACCCACUUAGAAAAAUGUACUGAAGAUUAACAAUAAAUCAUAUCAUCAUUU